CACGUAGGGCGCGAGCGUUGUCCGGAAUUAUUGGGCGUAAAGAGCUCGUAGGCGGCCUGUUGCGUCCGCUGUGAAAGCCCGGGGCUUAACCCCGGGUCGGCAGUGGAUACGGGCAGGCUAGAGGUAGGUAGGGGAGAAUGGAAUUCCCGGUGUAGCGGUGAAAUGCGCAGAUAUCGGGAGGAACCCCGGUGGCGAAGGCGGUUCUCUGGGCCUUACCUGACGCUGAGGAGCGAAAGCAUGGGGAGCGAACAGG
rnacentral:rRNA from 1 species